rnacentral:misc_RNA from 1 species
GGUGUUGCCAAGUUUGAUGAUGGGACAACACUAUUUUUGGUGCCUCCAUCAGAUUUCUUAACCAAGGUCUUGAAAGUUGCUGGACCUGAACGUCUUUAUGGUGUAGUUCUCAAGUUGCCGCAACAUGUCCCUAGUAAUGCAUCAGUACAGCCGCAGCUACGACAGCCCAGCCAUUUUCCUCAGUAUGUUGAUAGACAUCAAAUUCCUCCACCAGAGGCUGAUUAUAAUCAAAUUCCUCAGGAGGAAUGUAUGAUGCCACUGGAUUAUAACAGGGUUUUGCAUGAGGACUCAAAGCCUUUGUCAAAAUCAUUAUAUCCACCAACCACUCAGUCUAUUUCAGAGCAGUCAGUCCCUCAUGACUAUGCUUCUAAUAGCUCUGUAGCAGCUUCUCAAGCUGGAGUUUCAUUGACACCUGAGCUUAUCGCCACUCUUGCAUCUCUAUUGCCUGCAAAUGCACAGUCAACUGGUUUAGAAGGUGGUCAACCAGUAUCAGGCUCUGUUGUUGGGCCUCCAUUUUCCUCAGUUGCUACUAAUAAAGGAACUUCCUCACUUGAGUGGAAGCAUGAUAAUCAGGUUUCUGGAAACACAAAUCAUAUACAAUUUGGGAGCCAGUUCAAUUCUCAGGCACAAAUUCAGCCUCAGUUUCAGCCUCAUCCAUCUGUAUCCUGUGGACCUUAUAAUCCAGCAAAUAUGAUCCCUGGGAACACCCAAAUCCAAGAUUCUUCCAUCAACCUACCACAUCAGGGUGGUAUUCCUUCUAGGCCAUUGACUAGUGUUGCGAUGCCUUCCCAGAGUGGACAAGUUGGUUUGUCACCACAAGUUAGCCAGCAGUAUCAGCUUGAUGUUCUUCAUCAGAAGGGAUAUGUUGGAUUGGUGCAUGGAACAGAUGUUUCAGGUUCUUAUAGUCCAUCAAUUGUUCAGCAAUCUAAUAAUCCUGUUUCCUUCUCUAGUCAGGCUAAGGGUGGUAAUCAUUCCCAAGCGCUACCUGUGAUGCCUUUAUCUGCUGACAAAGUGAAUCAGCAGAUUCCCAAUCAGGUGCAGUCAUUCCAAACUGCUCUUCCUGGAGCUGGUCAGGGCACAUCAGAGGAUGAGGUUGACAAGAAUCAGCGAUACCAAUCAACAUUACAGUUUGCAGCAAGCCUGCUUCUCCAGAUACAGCAGCAAACAGGCAAUCCAGCAGUGCGAGGGUCUGGAAAUCAACAAUGAGAUUCCUUUGAUAUAGGUAGUUGGGCCUUAUUUGUCGUCUGAAGAUAGAGAGGUACAAUUGACUUCGGCUGUUAGCUUUUAUCUGUCCAUGGAGAAAAGAUAUUUGCCCAAAUUCUUGCGUUUGCGUUUGCGUAAGCGUUUUGGCGGUCAACUCGGUAGGAAUUCAAUGCACUGUACAAAUAGUUUCUUUUUCUUUUAUCUAAGUAAUCCUUUUUUUUCAUUUUCCAUAAAAGAAGAAGAAAUUCCAGGUCAGAUCAAGCAUAAAUAAAAUGAAAGAAAAGGAUUACU